rnacentral:rRNA from 1 species
GAGUUUGAUCCUGGCUCAGAACGUACGCUGGCGGCACGCCUAACACAUGCAAGUCGAACGCAGUAGCAAUACUGAGUGGCAGACGGGUGAGUAACAUGUGGGAAUCUGCCUUGUGGUUCAGGACAACAUUGGGAAACCGAUGCUAAUACUGGAUAAGCCCUUACGGGGAAAGUUUUAAUGCCAUAAGAUGAGCCCGCAUUUGAUUAGUUAGUUGGUGAGGUAAUGGCUCACCAAGACAAUGAUCAAUAGCUGAUCUGAGAGGAUGAUCAGCCACACUGGGACUGAGACACGGCCCAGACUCCUACGGGAGGCAGCAGUGGGGAAUCUUGCACAAUGGAGGAAACUCUGAUGCAGCGAUGCCGCGUGAGUGAAGAAGGCCUUUGGGUUGUAAAGCUCUUUUGUAGGGGAAGAUAAUGACUGUACCCUAAGAAUAAGGUCCGGCUAACUUCGUGCCAGCAGCCGCGGUAAUACGAAGGGACCUAGCGUAGUUCGGAAUUACUGGGCGUAAAGCGCGCGUAGGCCGUUGAGUUAGUUAAUUGUGAAAUCCCAAAGCUUAACUUUGGAACUGCAAUUAAAACUGCUCGACUAGAGUUUGAUAGGGGAAAGCGGAAUACAUAGUGUAGAGGUGAAAUUCGUAGAUAUUAUGUAGAACACCAGUUGCGAAGGCGGCUUUCUGGAUCAACACUGACGCUGAGGCGCGAAAGUAUGGGUAGCAAAGAGGAU